AACGAACGCUGGCGGCAGGCCUAACACAUGCAAGUCGAACGGGAUCUUCGGAUCUAGUGGCGGACGGGUGAGUAACGCGUGGGAACGUGCCCUUUGGUUCGGAAUAGCCCUGGGAAACUGGGAGUAAUACCGGAUACGGUCGAGAGACGAAAGAUUUAUCGCCGAAGGAUCGGCCCGCGUUGGAUUAGGUAGUUGGUGGGGUAAUGGCCUACCAAGCCGACGAUCCAUAGCUGGUUUGAGAGGAUGAUCAGCCACACUGGGACUGAGACACGGCCCAGACUCCUACGGGAGGCAGCAGUGGGGAAUCUUAGACAAUGGGGGAAACCCUGAUCUAGCCAUGCCGCGUGAGCGAUGAAGGCCUUAGGGUUGUAAAGCUCUUUCGUGGGGGAAGAUAAUGACUGUACCCCAAGAAGAAGCCCCGGCUAACUCCGUGCCAGCCGCCGCCGUAAAAC
rnacentral:rRNA from 1 species